CUUUUCCCGUGUCCCUAGAAGAGAGGAAAUACCCAGCCCCAUCCCGAACCUGGAAGUCAAGCUCUCUUACGCCGAUGAUACUGCGCUUUUCAAGUGUGGGAAAGUAGGGUGAUGCGGGGGGUU
rnacentral:rRNA from 1 species